GCUUCUGAGUUUUAGUUUAAAGUUAAAUUGUGUAAGCAUCUGUUAAGGUGUAAGAAAAGCUGUAAUCAGCUGUUUGAGUACAAUUCUUACAUAUACAUGAACAUUUUCCUCUCCGGUUUCCAACUUGGAGUGCAGCAUUUUUCAUCAUG